rnacentral:tRNA from 1 species
GGCCUUAUGGUCUAGUCGUAUGAUUCUCCCUUUGGGUACUCAUUCAAUAUGGGAGAGGUCUCGGGUUCAAUUCCCGAUGAGGCCC